GGAUUUUUUUUUUUCCUUUCCUCUGAAGGACAGCCUCCUAGCCUGGGAGUCCACUGGGAGCUCCAACCCUUGUCUUAUCUGGAUCUGGGAUGUUGUUGUUAGCUUAUUGUUUGGACAUCGGAGAAAGGAGGACAAGCCAAAACAAAAAGAGUCCAUUAAGCUCUCUCCAGAGGUCCCUAUUUAGACAAAGAGGAAAAAUCCCAAACCUGCCAUUUCAAGUGGCAGUUCUAGAAAGUCUCUCCAGUGUCUCCCCCAAGAGGAGCAGUGACAGUGCUGGAGCUGCCAAAACACUCAGCCGCCUGAUAGGGAAGCAACAGGAAGGGAGGAGUCCCCACAAAGUCAUAGCACUGUUCUGUGGUUCUGCUUUAAAACCCAAGUCCAACCUGAAUGUGGAAUGAACUUCAUCAAAAUCAAGCAAAUGACUGGCACCCCUACACUGGAAGUGCCUUUGGCCCCAACUACUGACCUAUGGCUGGCUACCCCUCCAGCAGCCUCUUACAGAUGCAAACACUGAUUCGCUGAGUAUGGAGGAAGAGCAUCCUGGGAGAAGAUGUGAAAGGAGAAACCGAGGAGCUGGACUUUCUUGGAAAUGAGCCAUCUCACAAAAUCCCCAUGCACAUCCUACACUGGGUAACUAAUCCAAUGUACUAUCCAGGCCAGGUUUAUUUUUGUUUUUUGCUUUUCUUCCCUUAAAAAUGGAAGGAAUUGAAAUGAAGCACUAAGCUCUGUCCACAUAAUUUGACCACAACGUACUUGUUCAUGAGUUUUAGGAAAUCGACAGUUGGAACAAACAGUUCAAUUUCAAUAUUUGCAAAAUGACCUUGAAAACACCCCACAUGGUCAGGUUCUCCACUCUGUGGCUGUUGGAAAGAGAAAGCUCGGGUGGGUAAGGCCUGCGUGCACACGCUCACCCAUGCCACCACCGGCCAGUGCAACCAAGGGGCCGCAGGUGUUGCCCUUGAACCUUCCCUGUACUUUGUGAUUGGAGACAAAUAAAUUAUCUUCAAAGAAAAAAAAUAACUUGA